GGGGGGGGGGGGGGGGGGGGGGGGGGGGGGGGGGGGGGGGGGGGGGGGGGUGGUGUGGGGGGGGGGGCGGGUGGCGGGGGGGUGGGGGACACGUGAGUAGCCUGCGCUUGGCUGUGGGAUAACUUGAGGAGACGGGGGCUAAUACCGGGUAGGAGCUCCUGCUGCGUGGUGGGGGUUGGAAAGGUGCGGCGGGGGGGGCUGGAUGCGCGGCUUAUCAGCGUGUUGGUGGGGUAGUGGCUUACCAAGGCUUUGGCGGGUAGCCGGCCUGAGAGGGUGACCGGCCACAUUGGGACUGAGAUACGGCCCAGCCUCCUACGGGAGGCAGCAGUGGGGAAUAUUGCACAAUGGGCGGAAGCCUGAUGCAGCAACGCCGCGUGCGGGAUGACGGCCUUCGGGUUGUAAACCGCUUUCGCCUGUGACGAAGCGUGAGUGACGGUAAUGGGUAAAGAAGCACCGGCUAACUACGUG
rnacentral:rRNA from 1 species